rnacentral:lncRNA from 1 species
GCCCGGCCCCGCUCAGCUCUCUCCGCGGUCCCGCCGGGCCCUGCUCGCCAACCCCGUGCUGGGCUGAUUGCCGAGGUAGAUGCCACCCACGCACCCCCGCGGCUGGGGAGCGCGAGCUGGAGGAUGCGGAGAGGCCUGAGGCAGGGGGGCCAGGCGCGCGCGCCCUAGGCAGUCUCAGAGGUAGAGUCGGGUGACGGGCUAAACGCGACGCCUAGCUGGACACCCUGACAGCGGCAGCGGGCGAGCGAGGCUCCCCAGAGGGGCGGAGGCCAGGACCGAGACGUCCCCUAACUAGACCUAAGCCUUGAGGGCCGCCCCUCCCCAGGGGCCUGCUGAAGACUGAGGACGGAGGUGGGGGCAACAGGAUGGGGAGCCCGCAAUAGCCCAUCCUGACCUAAUCCGAAAGGACGAGAUCCUGGAGCCGCUCACAAAGUUUUCCGGGCCCCCUCCCACGCGUCGCCUGCACGUAUGUCCGUUUCCCGACGCUCCGCCCUCCCCCGCCAAGUUCGGCGUCUCCCAGCUCAGCGGCAGUCAGGGUGCAGAGGGAGCCCGACCUUGUCCCCGCCUCGGCCCGUCCCGCUUCUUCUGAAGCUUGUUUCAUUUUUAACUCCUUCCAGAAAAAUGUUGUUUUAAGGAAAAUCUCAAAGGAACAAAAAGCCAAUAGUGCCUUCCUUAUUUGCAAUCCCCACCCACCUCUGAGCUCGGACUGCAAGGGCCUCAAGGGACACCAGGUGACACCUGGGCCUUGCUUCUCACGGGUGACCUUGGACCAGAAAGGGUCAUUUUCAGUAAUGGGUAUGGCUGAGACUCUGCUG